CGCUUAGCUCAGCUGGGAGAGCACCUGCCUUACAAGCAGGGGGUCACAGGUUCGAUCCCUGUAGCGUCCA
rnacentral:tRNA from 2 species